rnacentral:rRNA from 1 species
CACUCCUACGGGAGGCAGCAGUGGGGAAUUUUGGACAAUGGGCGAAAGCCUGAUCCAGCAAUGCCGCGUGAGUGAAGAAGGCCUUCGGGUUGUAAAGCUCUUUUGUCAGGGAAGAAACGGUGAAAGCUAAUAUCUUUUGCUAAUGACGGUACCUGAAGAAUAAGCACCGGCUAACUACGUGCCAGCAGCCGCGGUAAUACGUAGGGUGCAAGCGUUAAUCGGAAUUACUGGGCGUAAAGCGUGCGCAGGCGGUUUUGUAAGUCUGAUGUGAAAUCCCCGGGCUCAACCUGGGAAUUGCAUUGGAGACUGCAAGGCUAGAAUCUGGCAGAGGGGGGUAGAAUUCCACGUGUAGCAGUGAAAUGCGUAGAUAUGUGGAGGAACACCGAUGGCGAAGGCAGCCCCCUGGGUCAAGAUUGACGCUCAUGCACGAAAGCGUGGGGAGCAAACAGGAUUAGAUACCCCAGUAGUCCCAU